rnacentral:rRNA from 1 species
GUAGGGAAUCUUGCGCAAUGGGCGAAAGCCUGACGCAGCCAUGCCGCGUGAAUGAUGAAGGUCUUAGGAUUGUAAAAUUCUUUCACCGGGGAAGAUAAUGACGGUACCCGGAGAAGAAGCCCCGGCUAACUUCGUGCCAGCAGCCGCGGUAAUACGAAGGGGGCUAGCGUUGCUCGGAAUUACUGGGCGUAAAGGGCGCGUAGGCGGACAUUUAAGUCAGAGGUGAAAGCCCAGGGCUCAACCUUGGAAUUGCCUUUGAUACUGGAUGUCUUGAGUUCGGGAGAGGUGAGUGGAAUGCCGAGUGUAGAGGUGAAAUUCGUAGAUAUUCGGCGGAACACCAGUGGCGAAGGCGACUCACUGGCCCGAUACUGACGCUGAGGCGCGAAAGCGUGGGGAGCAAACAGGAUUAGAUACCCGAGUAGUCC